rnacentral:piRNA from 1 species
UACGCUGUUUACAAGUCCUAACUCUGCA